rnacentral:rRNA from 1 species
UGCCUGGCGGCGAUAGCGCGGUGGUCCCACCUGACCCCAUGCCGAACUCAGAAGUGAAACGCCGUAGCGCCGAUGGUAGUGUGGGGUCUCCCCAUGCGAGAGUAGGGAACUGCCAGGCAC